UGUGGCUAAUACCCACGGGACUUGAUUGUACCCGCAGAGGAAGCCCCGGCUAACUCUGUGCCAGCAGCCGCGGUAAUACAGAGGGGGCAAGCGUUAUUCGGAAUUAUUGGGCGUAAAGGGCGCGUAGGCGGCUUUUCAAGUGGCGGGUGAAAUCCCUCGGCUUAACCGAGGAACUGCCUGCCAAACUGAAUGGCUUGAGACCGGGAGAGGUGAGUGGAAUUCCCAGUGUAGCGGUGAAAUGCGUAGAUAUUGGGAGGAACACCAGUGGCGAAGGCGGCUCACUGGACCGGUACUGACGCUGAGGCGCGAAAGCGUGGGGAGCAAACAGGAUUAGAUACCCUGGUAGUCCACGCCGUAAACGAUGAGUGCUUGGUGUAGCGGGUAUCGACCCCUGCUGUGCCGAAGUCAACACAUUAAGCACUCCGCCUGGGGAGUACGGUCGCAAGACUGAAACUCAAAGGAAUUGACGGGGGCCCGCACAAGCGGUGGAGCAUGUGGUUCCAUUCGAAGCAACGCGCAGAACCUUACCUGGUUUGAACUGCAGUGGAAAGGCUCAGAGAUGAUCCCCCUCU
rnacentral:rRNA from 1 species